rnacentral:rRNA from 1 species
CAGCCGCCGCGGGAAUACGGAGGGAGCUAGCGUUGUUCGGAAUUACUGGGCGUAAAGCGCACGUAGGCGGCUUUGUAAGUUAGAGGUGAAAGCCUGGAGCUCAACUCCAGAAUUGCCUUUAAGACUGCAUCGCUUGAAUCCAGGAGAGGUGAGUGGAAUUCCGAGUGUAGAGGUGAAAUUCGUAGAUAUUCGGAAGAACACCAGUGGCGAAGGCGGCUCACUGGACUGGUAUUGACGCUGAGGUGCGAAAGCGUGGGGAGCAAACAGGAUUAGAUACCCCAGUAGUCCCUGUCUCUUAUAC